GAAAGGGCGUACGGUGGAUGCCUAGGCACUUGAAACUGAAGAAGGACGCAACAAACGGCGAAACGCGGCGGGGAGCUGUACGUAAGCAAAGAUCCGCCGGUAUCCGAAUGGGGGAACCCGGCAUGCGUAAUAGCAUGUCAUCCGCAGAUGAACAAAUAGUCUGCGAGAGAGGUACCCGGGGAACUGAAACAUCUAAGUACCCGGAGGAAAAGAAAACAACAGUGAUUCCCUGAGUAGCGGCGAGCGAAAGGGGAGGAGCCCAAACCAGACCGAGGUCUGGGGUUGAAGGACCGCGAUACGGCAAGAAUCAUGGUAGGAGAACGGCAUUGAAAGGCCGACCGGAGAGGGUGCAAGUCCCGUAUCCGAAACCGUGAGGAAGCCCAGCGGGAUCCUGAGUACGGCGAGACACGAGAAAUCUUGUCGGAAGCAGGCGGGACCAUCCGUCAAGGCUAAAUAUAAGCAAGUGACCGAUAGUGAACCAGUACCGUGAGGGAAAGGUGAAAAGAACCGCGGGAGCGGAGUGAAACAGAACCUGAAACCGUAUGCUUACAAGAAGUCAGAGCACGUUAAGGUGUGAUGGCGUGCCUUUUGUAGAAUGAACCGGCGAGUUAUGUUAUCGUGCGAGGUUAAGCAGGAGAUGCGGAGCCGAAGCGAAAGCGAGUCUUAAUAGGGCGGCAGUACGAUGACAUAGACCCGAAACCGUGUGAUCUAGCCAUGACCAGGUUGAAGUUCAGGUGAAACUGAAUGGAGGACCGAACCGACCCCCGUUGAAAAGUUGGCGGAUGAGUUGUGGCUAGGGGAGAAAUUCCAAUCGAACACGGAUAUAGCUGGUUCUCCCCGAAAUAGCUUUAGGGCUAGCGUCGAGGAUGAGUCUUGUGGAGGUAGAGCACUGAAUGUACGAUGGCCCCAUCCCGGGGUACUGAGUAUAAUCAAACUCCGAAUGCCAUGAGAUAUUCCCGGCAGUCAGACCGUGGGUGAUAAGGUCCAUGGUCAAAAGGGAAACAGCCCAGACCGCCAGUUAAGGUCCCAAAAUGUAUGCUAAGUGGAAAAGGAUGUGGGGAUGCACAGACAACUAGGAGGUUGGCUCAGAAGCAGCCAUCCUUCAAAGAGUGCGUAACAGCUCACUAGUCGAGUGACCCUGCGCCGAAAAUGUACCGGGGCUAAGCAUACUACCGAAGCUGCGGAUUUGUAGUAAUACAAGUGGUAGGGGAGCGUUCCAUGCACGUGGAAGCCAUACCGAAAGGAGUGGUGGAGAGCAUGGAAGUGAGAAUGCCGGUGUGAGUAGCGAGAUGCAGGUGAGAAUCCUGCACACCGAUAGCCCAAGGAUUCCAGGGGAAGGUUCGUCCGCCCUGGGUAAGUCGGGACCUAAGGCGAGGCCGAAAGGCGUAGUCGAUGGAAAACAGGCAGAUAUUCCUGUACCCGCGAUGGAAAUGAAGGAAUGACGGAGAAGGCUAGCAUGAGCCACUUAUUGGAUUGUGGUCGAAGCGAAUAGCAGGUGCAUAGUAAAAUGCGUGCACGGGAUGUAAAACGUGACAGGUAAGCGAAACCUUUGGGGAGUAGCGAAGCAUGCGAGGCCAGCUUCCAGGAAAAGUUUCUAGUGCUGAUUCCAUAGCGGCCCGUACCAAAACCGACACAGGUGGGCAAGGAGAGUAUCCUGAGGUGAGCGAGAGAACUGUUGCCAAGGAACUCGGCAAAAUGACUCCGUAAGUUAGCGAGAAGGAGUGCUUAUGAAAGUAAGCCGCAGUGAAGAGGCCCAAGCGACUGUUUAACUAAAACACAGCUCUCUGCGAAGUCGCAAGACGAAGUAUAGGGGGUGACGCCUGCCCGGUGCUGGAAGGUUAAGAGGAUUUGUCAGUUUCGACGAAGCAAUGAAUUGAAGCCCCAGUGAACGGCGGCCGUAACUAUAACGGUCCUAAGGUAGCGAAAUUCCUUGUCAGGUAAGUUCUGACCCGCACGAAAGGCGUAACGAUUUGGGCGCUGUCUCGGCAGCAGACUCGGUGAAAUCUUAGUACCUGUGAAAAUGCAGGUUACCCGCAACUAGACGGAAAGACCCCAUGGAGCUUUACUGCAGCCUGAUAUUGGAUUUUGAUCAGAGAUGUACAGGAUAGGUGGGAGACGAAGAAGGAUGCACGCCAGUGUAUCUGGAGUCGACGUUGGGAUACCACUCUUGUCUGAUUGGAGUUCUAACCUGCGUCCAUGAAGCUGGACGGGGGACCGUGUCAGGCAGGCAGUUUGACUGGGGCGGUCGCCUCCCAAAGAGUAACGGAGGCGCCCAAAGGUACGCUCAGAUUGGACGGAAAUCAAUCGGCGAGUGCAAAUGCAGAAGCGUGCUUGACUGUGAGACAAACAGGUCGAACAGGGACGAAAGUCGGGAUUAGUGAUCCGGCGGUGCCGAAUGGAAGGGCCGUCGCUCAACGGAUAAAAGCUACCCUGGGGAUAACAGGCUGAUCUCGCCCAAGAGUUCACAUCGACGGCGAGGUUUGGCACCUCGAUGUCGGCUCAUCGCAUCCUGGAGCUGAAUUCGGUUCCAAGGGUUGGGCUGUCCGCCCAUUAAAGCGGUACGCGAGCUGGGUUCAGAACGUCGUGAGACAGUUCGGUCCCUAUCUGUUGUGGGCGUAGGAGAUUUGAGGAGAGCUGUCCUUAGUACGAGAGGACCGGGAUGGACCUACCGCUGGUGCACCGGUUGUUGUGCCAACAGCAUAGCCGGGUAGCUAAGUAGGGAAGGGAUAAGCGCUGAAAGCAUCUAAGCGCGAAGCCUACUCCAAGAUGAGAUCUCCCAUACGCAAGUAGUAAGACCCCUUGAAGACGACGAGGUUGAUAGGUCAGGGAUGGAAGCGUAGCGAUACGUGCAGUUGACUGAUACUAAUAGGUCGAGGACUUAAUC
rnacentral:rRNA from 1 species